rnacentral:rRNA from 1 species
AGAGUUUGAUCAUGGCUCAGGAUGAACGCUGCGGCAUGCCUAAUACAUGCAAGUCGAACGAACUAGUUUACUAGUUAGUGGCGAACGGGUGAGUAACACGUAGGUAACCUACCCCAAACACGAGGAUAACUCUGGGAAACUGGAGCUAAUACUGGAUAGGAUAUAGUGACAGAAGUUAUUAUAUUUAAAGAGGCUUUCGGGCCUUGGUAUGGGAAGGACCUGCGUCGCAUUAGAUAGUUGGUGAGGGUAACGGCCCACCAAGUCAACGAUGCGUAGCUGAGCUGAGAGGCUGAACAGCCACACUGGGACUGAGACACGGCCCAGACUCCUACGGGAGGCAGCAGUAGGGAAUUUUCGGCAAUGGGGGGAACCCUGACCGAGCAAUGCCGCGUGAACGAAGACAGUCUUCGGAUUGUAAAGUUCUGUUAAUGGGAAAGAAAGUGCAUACUAGGAAAUGAGUAUGUAUUGACGGUACCUAUUCAGAAAGCCCCGGCUAACUACGUGCCAGCAGCCGCGGUAAUACGUAGGGGGCAAGCGUUAUCCGGAAUUAUUGGGCGUAAAGAGUGCGUAGGCGGUUUGUUAAGUCAUUUGUAAAA